GUGGCGGCGGCGGCGCCACGUCGGGCCGGGCUGCAGAGAUCCUCCGCCGUGGGUUCCGGGGCCGCCUCCCGAGCGGGAGCGCGGUCCGCAGCGGGCUGGGACCGCGGGAGGGAGUGAGUAGGGCCAAGGGAUGCUCGGACGCGCCGGUGCUGAGAACUGAUUCUGGGUGGACGUGCAAUUCACAUGCGCCGUGGGUGUUUUUUCUGGGCAGCGGCCCUGGAGCCGAAGAGCAGGGAGUUAGAACAGCGUCUACCAGGGAGCUGACCUAGUUUCGGAGGUUGGAAGUCCAAGAUCAAGGUGUUGGCAGGGAUGGUUUGUGAAGAGAACUCUCCCCUUGGCCUGCAGAGGGCAGCCUUCUUGCCGUGUCUUCACGGGGCCUUUGCCGGGAAUUCUUUGGCGAUGCUCCAAAGGAUACUCUGCAGGGCGGUGGAAAACCAAAUCUUCAAUUCAAUUCUGAAGUGCGGCUCCCUUGGUUUUCAGCCCGAGCUCGAUAUGAAGUUUAGCGCUGCAAUGUAUCACUUUGUUCCUUGCUUGUAUUGGGGGAGACACGUUUAAUAUUUAGAAGAAGAAUGAAGCCAAUUGCAAGUAGCUUCUGGAAAUGGAAGAAUGGGAGAAAUCAGGACUACUCCCUUCCCAAGCCCAGGUCCAAGUCUUUCCCCUACUUUUUUUUGGGGGGGGGGGAGUAGGGGGGAUGCCCUUGGCAUGAGGAAAUGCCCAGGCCAGGGAUCAAACUUGCAUGACAGCAGUGACUUGAGCCACAGCACCGACAAUGCCAGAUCCUUAACCUGCUGAGCCACCAGGGAACUCGUCCCCUACUUCUUUCCGCCCCAAAGUUGGGAUUACAAGAAUCCCUUUUCCAUGUGUUGUAUAUUCCACUCCAUACCCAUUCCCAGCUGAUUUGCCUCUCCAUCCUCUGAUGAAUCCUUGCCCAUAAUUUCUAUUGUUUCCAGCCUCUGGAACACAAGCCACUUGGCACUGGUCCUUCUAGAUGGGAUCCAGGGAGCUCUAUUCUUCCGUUCAACAAAUAUAAAUGCCAAUGACAUUCUGGACAGUUUGCUGAAUUCCAAAAUCUACAGUCAGGGUUCCUAUGCUCAAGAUACCUAUCAUUCACCUUGGUGUUUGAGGAUUCCCCAAGAUGUGGGUUUGGGAAAUAGACGAAAGAAGAGGCACACGAUCCCUGCGAUGGACCAAAACCAAAACCAAAUUAAUGAAACUUGAUCUGUAGAUGUGGGAUCUUUGUCUUUUAAUAUGUGAGCCUGUCCAGACACUUGUAAAUGAGAAUUAACAUGGAAUCAGAAGAAAACUUGGGAGUUCUCUAAUCGCCUAGUGGGUAAAGGCUCUUGCCUUUUCACUGCUGUGGCUCUGAUUGCUCCUGUGGCACAGGUUUGAGCCCUGGCCCAG